rnacentral:misc_RNA from 1 species
UUUUUUUUUCUUUUCUUUUUUUUGAAGGAAUUUAUUUCACCACCAAAUUGGUUGCCACUGUAUGCAUUGUUGGAGAAGCAGCAGGGAAUAAGUAAUUGCAGCUCUUCAAAUCUUUUGCCACCUUUUUGCGGAUGUACUCCUAUCACCACAGAGAAAGGCUUCUGAAAGAGAAAUGACGAGAACAAACAACAAAGAGGACAAGAUUAAAUAAGAAAAUGAAUCUGUUAAAGGCCUCAGGCAUCUAUUUAUUAAUGCCAGAUUCCACCUUAUGAGAACUUAAAGGAUGAUCGAGAGCCUAAGCAGCUGCUCAUGCAUGCUUUCUGGAGUAAGUUGGAAGAGAUGGACCACCACGGUGGGAAGUUGGAGCUUUGACUUAGAUUAUUAUUUGAAACCAAAUACGCUGAAAAUCAAUUGUAACUCUUUGACAACAG